rnacentral:misc_RNA from 1 species
GAAAUGUGAUAAGUAAUGUGAAUUGCAGAAUUCAGUGAAUCAUCGAAUCUUUGAACGCACCUUGCGCUCCUUGGUAUUCCUUGGAGCAUGCCUGUUUGAGUAUCAUGAAAUCUUCAAAGUAAAUCUUUUGUUAACUCAAUUGGUUUCUACUUUGGUAUUGGAGGUCUUUGCAGCUUCACACCUGCUCCUCUUUGUUCAUUAGCUGGAUCUCAGUGUUAUGCUUGGUUCCACUCGGCGUGAUAAGUUAUCUAUCGCUGAGGAUACUGUAAAAGGUGGCCAAGGUAAAUGCAGAUGAACCGCUUCUAAUAGUCCAUUGACUUGGACAAUACUUUUAUGAUCUGAUCUCAAAUCAGGUAGGACUACCCGCUGAACUUAAGC